GUGAUCGGCCACACUGGGACUGAGACACGGCCCAGACUCCUACGGGAGGCAGCAGUAGGGAAUCUUCCGCAAUGGACGAAAGUCUGACGGAGCAACGCCGCGUGAGUGAUGAAGGUUUUCGGAUCGUAAAGCUCUGUUGUCAGGGAAGAACAAGUGCGAGAGUAACUGCUCGCACCUUGACGGUACCUAACCAGAAAGCCACGGCUAACUACGUGCCAGCAGCCGCGGUAAUACGUAGGUGGCAAGCGUUGUCCGGAAUUAUUGGGCGUAAAGGGCUCGCAGGCGGUUUCUUAAGUCUGAUGUGAAAGCCCCCGGCUCAACCGGGGAGGGUCAUUGGAAACUGGGAAACUUGAGUGCAGAAGAGGAGAGUGGAAUUCCACGUGUAGCGGUGAAAUGCGUAGAGAUGUGGAGGAACACCAGUGGCGAAGGCGACUCUCUGGUCUGUAACUGACGCUGAGGAGCGAAAGCGUGGGGAGCGAACAGGAUUAGAUACCCUGGUAGUCCACGCCGUAAACGAUGAGUGCUAAGUGUUAGGGGGUUUCCGCCCCUUAGUGCUGCAGCUAACGCAUUAAGCACUCCGCCUGGGNGANGNUANCGGUCGCAAGACUGAAACUCAAAGGAAUUGACGGGGGCCCGCACAAGCGGUGGAGCAUGUGGUUUAAUUCGAAGCAACGCGAAGAACCUUACCAGGUCUUGACAUCCUCUGACAACCCUAGAGAUAGGGCUUUCCCUUCGGGGACAGAGUGACAGGUGGGGCAUGGUUGUCGUCAGCUCGUGUCGUGAGAUGUUGGGUUAAGUCCCGCAACGAGCGCAACCCUUGAUCUUAGUUGCCAGCAUUUAGUUGGGCACUCUAAGGUGACUGCCGGUGACAAACCGGAGGAAGGUGGGGAUGACAUCAAAUCAUCAUGCCCCUUAUGACCUGGGCUACACACGUGCUACAAUGGACAGAACAAAGGGCUGCGAGACCGCAAGGUUUAGCCAAUCUCAUAAAUCUGUUCUCAGUUCGGAUCGCAGUCUGCAACUCGACUGCGUGAAGCUGGAAUCGCUAGUAAUCGCGGAUCACCAUGCCGCGGUG
rnacentral:rRNA from 1 species